GGGGACGCUGGCGGCGUGCUUACACAUGCAAGUCGAACGAUGAUCCUGGUGCUUGCACUGGGGGAUUAGUGGCGAACGGGUGAGUAACACGUGAGUAACCUGCCCCUGACUCUGGGAUAAGCCUGAGAAAUUGGGUCUAAUACCGGAUAUGAACACUUAUCGCAUGGUGGGUGUUGGAAAGAUUUUUUGGUUGGGGAUGGGCUCGCGGCCUAUCAGCUUGUUGGUGGGGUAGUGGCCUACCAAGGCGACGACGGGUAGCCGGCCUGAGAGGGUGACCGGCCACACUGGGACUGAGACACGGCCCAGACUCCUACGGGAGGCAGCAGUGGGGAAUAUUGCACAAUGGGCGAAAGCCUGAUGCAGCGACGCCGCGUGAGGGAUGACGGCCUUCGGGUUGUAAACCUCUUUCAGUAAGGAAGAAGCGAAAGUGACGGUACUUGCAGAAGAAGCGCCGGCUAACUACGUGCCAGCAGCCGCGGUAAUACGUAGGGCGCGAGCGUUAUCCGGAAUUAUUGGGCGUAAAGAGCUCGUAGGCGGUUUGUCGCGUCUGCCGUGAAAGUCCGGGGCUUAACUCCGGAUCUGCGGUGGGUACGGGCAGGCUAGAGUGCAGUAGGGGAGACUGGAAUUCCUGGUGUAGCGGUGAAAUGCGCAGAUAUCAGGAGGAACACCGAUGGCGAAGGCAGGUCUCUGGGCUGUAACUGACGCUGAGGAGCGAAAGCAUGGGUAGCGAACAGGAUUAGAUACCCUGGUAGUCCAUGCCGUAAACGUUGGGCACUAGGUGUGGGGGACAUUCCACGUUUUCCGCGCCGUAGCUAACGCAUUAAGUGCCCCGCCUGGGGAGUACGGCCGCAAGGCUAAAACUCAAAGGAAUUGACGGGGGCCCGCACAAGCGGCGGAGCAUGCGGAUUAAUUCGAUGCAACGCGAAGACCCUUACCAAGGCUUGACAUGGACUGGAUCGCCGCAGAGAUGUGGUUUCCCUUCGGGGCUGGUUUCACAGGUGGUGCAUGGUUG
rnacentral:rRNA from 1 species